rnacentral:rRNA from 1 species
UGGGGAAUUUUGCACAAUGGGGGAAACCCUGAUGCAGCGACGCCGCGUGCUUUAGAAGGCCCUCGGGUUGUAAAAAUCUUUUCUAUGGGAAGAAAAUGACAGUACCAUAGGAAUAAGGACCGGCUAAUUACGUGCCAGCAGCCGCGGUAAUACGUAAGGUCCGAGCGUUGUCCGGAAUCAUUGGGCGUAAAGGGUACGUAGGCGGGUAAGCAAGUUAGAAGUGAAAUCCUGUAGCUCAACUACAGUAAGCUUUUAAAACUGCUCAUCUUGAGAUAUGGAAGGGAGAGUGGAAUUCCUGGUGUAGCGGUGAAAUGCGCAAAUAUUAGGAGGAAUACCGGGGGCGAAGGCGACUUUCUGGCCAUAAUCUGACGCUGAGGUACGAAAGCGUGGGUAGCAAACAGG